rnacentral:rRNA from 1 species
CCGCACGGGUGAGUAACACGUAUCCAACCUGCCGUCUACUCUUGGACAGCCUUCUGAAAGGAAGAUUAAUACAAGAUGGCAUCAUGAGUUCACAUGUUCACAUGAUUAAAGGUAUUCCGGUAGACGAUGGGGAUGCGUUCCAUUAGAUAGUAGGCGGGGUAACGGCCUACCUAGUCUUCGAUGGAUAGGGGUUCUGAGAGGAAGGUCCCCCACAUUGGAACUGAGACACGGUCCAA